AAACAAAGAAAAUAAGAGGCCUUAUAACCAGAGGAUGUCAAGAGUUUUCAAAAGGCAGCAAGGAUGCCAGAGUGGCCACAGGUGUCAAAACGUUGAUUGGUUCAAAUAUCUGAUGAACUGUAACAAUGGUGCCGAAAGCAAUAAAAAAGGCACUGAGGCAUUUUGGAAGUUACUGGAAUUACUACCACCUGAGAUAUAUAGCAAUUUGUCACCAACACCUUCAAGUCUACCAUGGGUCAAGCUUGUUACUGUCACGAUGGGGAGUGUGGCACGAACGUGCCAAUGGAAGAUGGGAUGUAAUGUACUUGCUACCACAGGAGAUUGUCGUGUGUCCUACAAUGGUCACAAUGGAGGCUUUGAAGGUGCAACCCAUCUUGUCUCACUAGUAGCAUCUUUUAUCAGUGCUCUAUCGAAACCAAUCACAUGUCCAUUUCCCCUCUAGAUGAUCUGUGUAGGGACUGUGCUUUAUUCAUGUCUGAAGAAUGACCACAAUCAGGGCUCAAUAAACUCCUACUAAUCUGCUUGA